UCAUAAGUGGAAGAGAGAAAAGGAGAAAUUGAAUGAUCUUUGUUCAUUUUUCUUUCUAUUAUGACCCAGAAAAAGACAUAUGGAGGGAUCGGAUUGGAGGAAAAGGGCAGAGUGGAAUUUGGAACUUCCUUUCAAGUGGGAGAUGAACCAGGGCCAACGGAGGACGGCUGCCUGCUGACAGCUGCCAUUUCCACAGACUCACUGGGCCAAAGUGAUAGCCAACACUGAGAAGAAGAAUCCAGUGUCCAGAUUUUUCAAAGGGCUGCAGAAGUCUUGUUCUGCUGGAUAUAUAUUUUUAAGUUAGAGCUUGUUGAACAACAGAAGAUUAUAGGACCAGCCAGAGACUCAAGGAGAGCCAAUGGGGGUAUUAUGGUUUUGGAUUUAGCUAACCACUGACUGGAGGAACUGAGACAGCAUACAGUGGCAAAGCCUUUGACAAAUGGACAAGGGAAGAUGUUGAUGGCAACUACUGUUUACCAUGCAGAUGAAACAGAUCAACACUUUGCCCCGGAGAGCACAUGCUCAUACCACUUUAAGGACGAAUACCCUGAGAAGUGGUUGUGUGUGGAGGUAUCCAAAGGAGGGCUGACAAGAGAAAGAAGACAGAAUUAGGUCAUUCCCUCUUGAUGACAGAACUAUAACAAGUGACAAAGUGAAAUUAGCUUCUCUUGCAAAAUGAAUAAGCAUGAUUUUUCUGUGGUCAUUUUCACAAAUAUUUGAUGGCUUCCUAUUGCUAUACUACUUAUUCCCCUCCCAAUACCUACAGAUCUUCUUGUGUGAUAUUUGUAAGUUGCAAAUGAAGGACUAACGGGAGUAGACGGUUUCAUUUUCCAGACACGUUUGCACCAAGUCAAAUGUUUUCACAUACAUUCCAGGGAAACGUUCUCCCUCUGUUGCAUUUUUACUUAUUACACUAGCUCAGAUCAUUUCAAAGGAGUAUCCCAAAACUCAGUUAAUGUUGCUUUCACAUAACCUUAAAACUCCACAGUCUGACACUUAAUAAGAACACAAAAUAAAAUAUAAAUUACAAGAACCAUGCUGUCCAGAAUUUUCAGCUCACUUAAAUCCUCUUAUUGCACCCGAAAUGAAGGAGAAAGGACUCAUGAAUUAUAUGGUGGCCUCUCAGCUGCAAACAAGAUGCUCCCUAAGGAACAGAAAGGUCCUCAUUCAAAGGAACACACUAGAAGUGGCUGCCUACUAUGUUGUUCUU
rnacentral:lncRNA from 1 species